GACCCAGAAAGAAGUCCCCGCGCCUUCGCUCUCUGCGCCUCGGCUUGGGGAGUGUGUGUGUGCCUGCCUGGGCGCGCUUCCCCUCUUCCUCUCUCUCUCUCUCUUUUCAAAGUCUGGGGAACCUGAGCCUUGAAGCGGAGGCAAGCUCUCCGCCGGCUCCCCCUCCUCCUCUUGCCCCCUCCCUCUCCCCCUCUUGCAUUCCUCUCUUUCCCAGGGGCCCCGCCGACCCCGGUUGAAAUGGACGCGUCUCGGCAGUUGCAGAAGGCGCUUGGCAACUCUUCUGGAAAGUCGCCGCCGCCUCCUUUCUCUCUCUUUCUCUCUCUCUCUCUCUCUCUCUCUCUCCCCGCCUCCCUCGCUCCCCCUUCCCCCGCCCAACCAGGAUCUCCCCCCCCCCUUCUCUCUCUUUCUCUGUAUGUGUGCAGGAAAUCCCUCCCAGGCUCCUCUUCUUCCCUCCUGAUUGGAAAAACCGAAGCGCGGGGGAGUUGCCGGGCGAGGAGGGCGCCAGAAGGACACCUGAGACCUCGGCGGGGUUUGGAGACAUGUGCGCACAGGGUCACCCUACACAGAGCACACUGGGACGUAGUGUGACUAAAGCUUGAACAACUGUUGCCAAACCAGGCUGAUUUUCCGGAAAUACUGAGCUGGUGCAUUGAAUUGUGCCAGUAAAUUCUUUGCCAUCAUUGUCCCAUGGGGAUUCAGGGACUGUAUAAGAUCAAGGAACCUUCUCAGGCUACUAACCUGGUCUUUCCAGAACAUCCUAAUCUAUAAAUUCAGACUUUCAACGAACAUGCACUUCUUUCCCAUCUCAUUCUGAUACUUUGAGUUUAAAGGUCUCUGCAACCUGACACUUGCAAAUAUUCUGUAACCCGUAGACUUUCAUGAGAGAAUGAAGAAAAAAGCUGAACAAUCUGAACUGUGUCCAUAUUGUUCUGAUAGGAUUAUGGCGUGUAGUAUGUCGCUAUCACACAUUGAAGUGUAUAUAUUUCCAUAUACAACAUCUGCACCUGUGAGAUCUGGACCAGCAGUUUCACUUACCCACAUCUGACAAAAUAUAUCCUCUCUAGAAAUUUUCUAGGUACUCCAGUGUGAUGCUGUGGCAACUUCUGGCAGAAGUGGUUAAAUUCCAUAAGGUUUACUGUUAUUUAUCUACAUUUCCUGUUUCCACAGUAAGUUCAGUAACAUAUCCCCAGCAGGUAUGAGGGUUAUAUAGAGCAAGUGAAUCAGACAGUGAGUCAUUUUACAUUUUCAGUCAUCCCCUUUAUUUUAAAAUGUUUGAGGUAUAAUAUUAAAAGAGCAUCAUGGAUACAUCAUUGUGAUACUUUCAUUUAUCUGUGCAUCGUCAACCUAUGUAGAAUGGUGGUUAGGGUGUUAAGCUAGGAGAAUGGGACAAUAAAAUUUAAUAAGAAGCUCACUGGGAAACCAUAGACCUAACUUACGUCACACAGUUAUUAGUACGAAAUGGGUGGGUUGAAAAGUCUCAUCUAUGCUAUUCCUAAAACCAUUGAGAAAUAGACAUCCAGCAAAUAAAUAAAGUGUCAAUAAUGUGUUUGUAAUUGCUUGUGUCUGUUGUUGAUGAUAGUUUGUGGCUUUAAGAAAAUGAUGCAAUAAUUUAAGAGAUUAGCUGAAAUAAAGGUUUCCAAAUUUAUUUGGGAAUAAAUGUCAUUCUAUAUAUUGAUAGACAUCUGUCAAGAGUGGCCAGGAUGGAUGGGGUUCAUGGGAAUAGAAGCCCUGUGGCAUUCAGUUAAAAAUCCAUUAAAAUGCAUGACAAGGAAGACCAGGGAUGGUAAGAUCUCUGUGUGGAUUCAUGUUGUUCUGUAUGUUUAUGAAAUAGCUCUUUGCCCUCGUGUCUUGUGACAGCAGUUGCUCCCUUGACCCAGAAGGCUUCAAACCCAAACCACUACAAUAACAGUUUUGACUUUCCUUUGGCUUUUCCCCCAUAUUAUGCAGUAAUUUAUUUUUCAAAAUGAGCAGGCUCUAGGUUUGUUAUCUAAGUACAACAUACCCCUCACCUGUGCUCUGAAAUAAGGAAUACUUCAUCCUCAUAGGAAUGCAUCUUCUAAGUUGUUUUGGAAUCUGUAAAAGAAUGACCUCAUUCCAUGACCAUGUAGGAAAUCUGUUUAUCAUAUGUACCAGCAAUAUCCUUAAGCAAGUAAAUUCUUUAGUUUUGGCCAAGGACUGUGACCUUGUUAAUGGUUUUAGUAAGCCCAUCAAGUGCAUUUUUAGAGGUAGUACAGCCAUAAGUAGAUGAAUAAAUUAUCCAGAAUUGCCUUUGGCGUGGUCCAUGGAAUGCAGGUGUAGGAAUCAUGUGACCCUGACUGACAGUCAAAGGAAGGCUUGUUCCUUCUCAGCCAGAGUCCUCCACAACCUCACCGGACUACUAGUCCCAAGAUCCAAUGGACUUUGAAAGUCAAAGCGUAAUAAUAGAGCUAUUAAUCCAGCCCAGGUGUUGCUGAACUGCAGCUUCGGCCUACUCAAACAGUUAGGGAUGAUGGGAAUUUUCAUCCAAAACAUUGGGAAUAUCACAUGUUCUCCACCCAAACAUAGUCAUGGACCUGGAAUUUUGUAUGGGUGGUUGUAAGACAGUCAUUCCUGCAACUUGAGUGCUGUCUUACUGUUGAAUGUGGGUAGUACAUCUCUAAAUAAAAGCUAUAGAUUUUUUGGAAAUUCUGAUCAUGUCCUUCUCAUAAAUCCUGACAGAUUCUUGCACUUUCCCAAGUCCCGUUAGAAAAUCCUUGGUUCUCUCAAAGAGAUUCUCUUCCAUUUUCCUCCAGGAUCAUCAUCAGCAGCAGUUUAAUUGUAAGAAUGACUAAAACCAUGCAGUUCUGAUAGACCAGUUUCACUUAGUUGUCUUUCCCCCAAUCAGCCAUAAUGAAAUGGCAUCAUUUUCUGUAUUGGUGUGUGUAUAUAUGCCUUCAGGCCAGGGGUGCCUUCAGCUUGGUUCUUUGAUCUGGUUCAGGGGUACAAACUCUCAAUUCCAUUUUGCAAGUUCUCCAAAGGUCAAACUGCAGAAUGCUCUGUAUUGUGUCAGGUAGUCUCACACGCAAUUGUACAUUUUAAAGUCCAAGUGCACAUCAAGAUAGUCUCCAUACCUGUGCCCUCUAGGAGGGUCCAAAAUGAAGCCAGCUGUAUUGAUAUAUCUCUUCUGCUAUGUACAGGUGAGAUGAUAGCUGUUGCCUCCAUGGUCUGUGAGUGAUGGCCUUUUCUCUCAGAUCUUCAAAUGAUGUCCUGUUUCUGGUCUCAUUAUAUUUGAGGCAUGUUUUGUGGGGAGACAAAAAAGGGUUUUCUUAGUGGCUGUUCCCUGGCUGUAACACCAUCUAACCCUUCUAAGAGAAGAUGGCUUAUUUCAAUGGUUCUCAACCUGUGGGUCCUCAGGUGUUUUGGCCUACAACUCCCAGAAAUCUCAGCCAGUUUACCAGCUGUUAGGAUUUCUGGGAGUUGAAAGCCAAAACAUCUGGGGACCCACAAGUUGAGAACCAUUGGCUUAUUUCCUGUUAUCCUUCCCAUGGCAGGAAAAUAUAGGCCAACUGGCAGAUGAGCUGUGUUGCCAAGGAAGGGCCUUUUAAUUGGUUAGAUGGUGUUACUUAUUUUACUGGUGGGUAUUUGAUCCAUGUUUGCUUUAUUUGAUUGUAUCUCCAUCACUUGCUGCCUUGAAUGCCAUCAUUGGUGGCAGGGAAUACACAUCCAUAUAAAUCCAACAAACAAAUUCUUUUCAGAGAAUAUUUCUAAGGGAGAUCUUAGAGCCCAGCUAGGUUUGUAUGGGGGGGGGGGGAACACAGUCCUUCUGACAGACCAAACGAAAGGGUAUUUUAUAGGGUGCUUUGAUGUGUGGAGUUGGGAACCCUUUAAGAGAUUCCUUGGGAGGCAGCACUGGGAAACUAUUGGGGAUUGCCUUCCCCCACCUUGCAUCAGUGGGAUUGUAGGGGAAGUACAGAAAUCAGUCAAGUUCUGUCCUUCCACUCACUUCCACUGGCAGAACUCUACCAUCAUAUCCAUAAUUUCUUGUAGUCUAGAAAAGAUUUAUGCGCUGAAAAAUGGGACCUCCAUCUGAUACAGCUUCUUUUUAGGUGUCUCAUGAUAGGCAUUUUCUUAAAGAGUUUGGACAAUUUUCAUGACAUUCUAUGGCUGGAAUCUGCUCAGAAAUAAUGCAGACUUUCUUUCCCAGCCAGGAGGUGGUAAAACUUCAAAAGGGACAUUUCCUCUGCAAGAGCUAGUGUGAUGUAGUGGUUGGGAGUCUAAGACUGGAACUGCAGAACAGGAUUUCUCAGCCAUGGGCGCUUACAGGGUGCCCUUGGACAAAUCAUACACUCUGCCUCAGAGGAAGACAAAGGGAAAACACCUCUGAACAAAUCUUGUCAAGAAAACCCUGUGAUAGGGUCACCAUAAAUUGGAAUUGACUUGAAAGGACACCACAACAACCAUGCACCCUCCCCAUCUCCACCAGCCCUAACUAAAUUCCCGGGAGCCAAUAUAAUGAUUCAUUAGACUAUAUUUUAAUGUCUAAGGACUAAUUCGAAGAAAUACCAAGAACCCAUAAUUUCUAGCGGCAUCCAUUUUAAUCAGCUCAUUCCAAAUAUUCGGAAAUUAUCCUAAACUAGGUUUUAUUGAGCGGGCUGAAUUUCUAUGAAGAGAAAUGGAGGAGGAAUGGGAUCCUUGUCUCUAAGACACACCCUGUCUUUUUACACAUCUUCAUAAAGAGAUUAUUAUGCAUCUUUGGUUAUAAAUGUCAGCAUUUUAUGGCAGUUAUUUUGAGGCUCUAUCUAUAAGUAGACUGGCUUGGGAACAUCACAAAGCGAAAGGUCUUGUUAUUCAUUAUCUGACUUUGGCAGAGCUUGUAAAGUGCACUGACAUUUAUAAUGAUUCUUUGAAUUUAUGUGCACCCUUUGUCCUUUUAAAGAUCUUAAUUAAGCCACGCAGCUCCCCAAGGAAUACAUAAGCCCAUUUUGAAGAGGUACGGAAACUUAAUACACCCAAAUCAAGGCCAGCCAUGGAUUAAAAUCAGGACAUUUCUAAGAAGGCACCUUAAUAACUGGCCUGGUUUGAAAACAAGGUGGCUGACAACUUUCUAAAGAUUACUACAAUUUUCAGAUGAGGCCAAGUAUCCAUACUUCUGCAAGGAAUCCAGCAGACUCCCUUGAGACUACUUAAAAAUUGUGGGUCAUGUUUUAAAAAUUGAUUUGUAUCCUUCACUAUCUCAAAAGAACUCAAGCCCAUGUGGAUAUACACAGACACAUUUAAAACUACAACGUACAAAUAUCUCAGACCACAAAUCCAUAUAUGUGCUUCAAUUUGCCUGUCAACCCAUAGCAACCCCAUGAAUUUCACUAGGCUCGCUUAGGGAAGAAAUACUCAAAAAUGGUUUUGAUUGGUCCUUCCACUGAAAUAUAGCCUAUGGCACCUGGUAUUCCUUGAUGAUCUCCCAUCCACCAUAUGAACCAGGACUGAUUCUGCUUAUCUUUCAAAAUCAGCUGGGAUCUGGUGUCUUUAGCUAUGUAGGCAAUCACAAAUUACAGAUAUCUGAAAUAAGGAACUAGGGAGUGCCAAGAUCAGGAUGCCACUACUGAGAAAGCCCUAUUGUGUGUCACGCUGGUCUACUCUGCAAAGUUAUUUUGAGUCCUUUGAACAGCUACAGCAGCUGGAGCAAAAAUACAAUUAUUCUUAUUUCUCACCAAACCUGUAGUAAUGCUAAACGGGUGACAUUAAAGUAACCUUUCCUAUAUUUGGUUGCUUAAUGUUGAUUAUAGGGUUGUUACUGCUAUCAGGUAAACUUGACAGAACCCAACAUGUGACAGGCACUUAGACUGACUCUAACUGAGAUUCUAAUUUUGCAAAUGCAUGUAUGCAUAAUAUCAAUGCUAUUCCUAUAUGCAGGUGUUCCAGGCUUCAGUAGUGAGACAAAAAAUAUAAUUGUUUCUUUCUGUAUUACCCCAACCUGUUAUUUUAUAUUUCUCCAUGUUGAUGCUAACUUAUACCUGCCCUAUCCUAGGGUUUCUUGGCAAGAUUUCUUCAGAGGCAGCUAUCCAUUGGCUUCCUCCUAACCAGAAACUUGCCUAAAAUCAUGGAGUGGAUUUCCAUGGCUGAUUUGAACCUUGGUUUCCUAAGGUCAUUCAACAUUCAAACCACUAUAACAUUCAACAUUCAGUCCACUAUAACACUGGUUUUCAUUUCAUCAAGGCAAGUUCUGACAUGGAAACAAAUCAAAUGGGAAGAAACAAAGGGGGAAGGAUUGAUGAGUGUUAAACUUCUAGCUGCUCCAUUAUGGGUCAGUAUUAUUUGUUGCAUGGCAUGUUCUUCAACUGCCUAAUAAUCAGGGGCACGGGCACAAACUGAGUGACCAAGACGGACAGCAAAACACAGCAGAACCUAGUUUGCAUUGCUUUGGAGAAACCUUCCAUGUAACCCCCGCCCCUCUGCAUUGUUUUAAUUGUCAGUUAUUUCAGUCUGUGGGUGAGAUCCUUUUUCAGCAAGUUAGUCAUGUCUUCAAUGGAGCACUGAAGAGCAGUUCAUUUGGACUCUGGGAAAGUCAAUGGAUCAAGUGUGGCAGCGACACAUGGCAACAGAGCAAAGCUGUUUGAAACAAAGGUAAAGCUCAUUCAGUGGUUGUGUUCAAUGGUUGGGGGCAUAGGAUGUGAAUUGGGAGAUCCAGGCUCAAGUCCCCCAAAAACAUGCCUGACCUGGGGCAAGUCACCCUUUUCAACACAUUUACCUAACUGCAGUGUUAUUGUGAGGGUAAAAUAUUCAUGGGGGAGAAGAGAUAAUACAGGCGCUAAGAAGAUGAGGUAGAAGAAAGAAUGGGCAUGAAGAUAACACACAUCUGUAUAAUUAUUUUUGGGGAAAAUAUGGACUUAGCUGUAUGCAUUUCUACAGUGUGUUUGCAAUGAUGCGACUAGAGAGGGCCCUCAGUACCUGAUGGGGUUUGGUUCCAGGACUUCUGUGGACACCAAAAUCUGUGAAUAUUCAAAUCCCAUUAUAUACAACCAAGUAGUGAAAUAAAAUGACAAACCACUCAAGUGCCAGAAAUAGCUUGAAGUUCUGUGAAAUGGCAGGAGGCCACUGUAGGCUUUGUCCACACACUAGUGUGCUUGGCAUGCUGCAAAAUCAAGUGCUUUUUGGAUUUUUCAAAAAAAUAAAUAAUCAAGCCAUGAUUGAUUGAAUUGUGGAUGUAAUAACCAUCGAAUCUGUAUGCAAUAUUUGUUGAUACAAAAGGCUUAUUGCAUGUAAGUUUAGACCAUAGAUUACCAAGUACAGUAGAGUCUCACUUAUCCAACAUAAUUGGGCCGGCAGAAUGUUGGAUAAGCGAAUAUGUUGGAUAAUAAGGAGGCAUUAAGGAAAAUCCUAUUAAACAUCAAAUUAGGUUAUGAUUUUACAAAUGAAGCACCAAAACAUCAUGUUAGACAACAAAUUUGGCAGAAAAAGUAGUUCAAUAUGCAGUAAUGCUAUGUAGUAAUUACUGUAUUUAUGAAUUUAGCACCAAAAUAUCAUGAUAUAUUGAAAACAUUGACUACAAAAAUGCGUUUGAUAAUCCAGAACAUUGGAUAAGCGAGUGUUGGAUAAGUGAAACUCCACUGUAUUUUACUUUUUUGUGAAGUGUUAACCAACUUUUAUCUCUUACCUUUAGUACUUUACCACUGUUUUUAUCCUUGUGAUCUUUUAAAGCAGGAAAACAAAAACAAAAUAAUUGUUUGCCAACUCUGGUUGUGUUUUUAAAGAAAUACUCUAUAUGCAGUUCUGCAUUUUAAAUUCACUUGAAUUGCAGCACUAUCAUUACAGUUGGGGUAAAACAGAGUUUGCAUCCACUCUUCUGUAAGUCAACACAUUUCAAUAAGCACAAUUUUGUUGCAGAAAGAGAUAAAAUAUUUUGAAUGAAAAAAAUUGAUUUGAAUGUGUAUAAUCAUGAGCCAAAAGAUGACAACAUGUUUUCAGAAGGAGGAGGAUGAGAUGAAACAAGUUGUGAUACAGCACAUAACAUCAGUUGUGGUGGACUCUGAGAAUACUGUGCCAGAAGAGAGUUUUUUAUGUGUGUCAGGAGCAAUUUGAGAAAGGGGAAGUCGCUUCUGGUAUGAGAGAAUUGGCCGUCUGCAAGGACGUUGUCCAGGGGAUGCCUGCAUAUUUGUUGUUUUACCAUCCUUGUGGAAGGCUUCUCUCAUGUCUUCAUAUGGGGAGCUGGAGCUGACAGAGGGAGCUCAUCUGUUCUCUUCCUGGCAACCUUCAAGUCAGCAACCCAACCUUCAAGUCAGCAGUCCUGCCGGCACAAGGAUCUAACCCAUUGAACCAUCGGGGACUCCUGCCAGAAGAGGUGCUAAUACUGAAUAAAAUUAUCACUGGAUUGUCA